CACACACUCUCUCUCCUCUCUUCUCUCUUCUCCAUUAUCUCUGCCUUCUCUCUAACACUCCUCCAAUCUUCUCUCCUUCUUACUCUCCACUGUUGCCGCCUCCGCCGCCGUCGCUACUAUUCCCUUUCCUUUUUACUUUUUUUUCUCUUCUCAGACGCCUCUUCCCCUCCACCAUUUUAGUUUCCAGCGACGACGGCCGCUGCCGCUGCCUAUUCUCACCUCUCCUCUCCCGGUCACCACCACGAAAAGA
rnacentral:lncRNA from 1 species